rnacentral:rRNA from 1 species
GAUGAACGCUGGCGGCGUGCCUAAUACAUGCAAGUCGAGCGAACAGAUCAGGAGCUUGCUCCUUUGACGUUAGCGGCGGACGGGUGAGUCACACGUGGGUAACCUACCUAUAAGACUGGGAUAACUUCGGGAAACCGGAGCUAAUACCGGAUAACAUUUGGAACCGCAUGGUUCUAAAGUGAAAGAUGGUUUUGCUAUCACUUAUAGAUGGACCCGCGCCGUAUUAGCUAGUUGGUAAGGUAACGGCUUACCAAGGCGACGAUACGUAGCCGACCUGAGAGGGUGAUCGGCCACACUGGAACUGAGACACGGUCCAGACUCCUACGGGAGGCAGCAGUAGGGAAUCUUCCGCAAUGGGCGAAAGCCUGACGGAGCAACGCCGCGUGAGUGAUGAAGGGUUUCGGCUCGUAAAACUCUGUUAUUAGGGAAGAACAAAUGUGUAAGUAACUGUGCACGUCUUGACGGUACCUAAUCAGAAAGCCACGGCUAACUACGUG